UAAACAAGGUGGGAUUUAAUGUAGGAGAAAUCGCACCGGUUCAAACCAAACCUGUGAGAACUUAAGUUCAUGGCACCGGUUCAAACCAGUGCAAACUAAAAAAACACCCUUUACCCCCUUUCUAUCUCUCAUCCGCCUCUCUUGUUCUCUCUCUUUCUCUGUCAUUUUUUGUUCUCUCUUUCUCUCUCAUCUCAAGUUCUUUUUCCUCUCUUAGCUCAUCUCUCAAUCUUCUUCCUCUUCUCAACAACUAUCAUCACACAACCACCUGCUUCUCAACAACCACCAUCGUUCUUCUUCCUUUUAUGGAACCAAGCACAACCACCAUCGCCGCUGCCAAUUCGAACCAUGCAAGUAUCGACCGGCCACCGCUGCCCUUUGUCAGAAAUUGGCGUCGUUAGAACCAAGCACAACCACCAUUGCCGCUGCCGUCAAUUUGAAUCAAAUACAAUAACAACAAACUUGAAUCAAUUAUCGAUUCAAAAAUCAGAAAUUUGAGGUUAGGGUUUCUGGGUUCUUUAGCUUUGCGUUUUGGUCCAAUUAUUCAUGUUAAAUGCCUUAAUCUUUGGGUUUAAUUUAUGUAAUAUUGUUCAAAAUUGCUGCUGGUUUUGGAGGUUUAUGCAGUUAGGUGUUGGCGUGGUAGGUUGCGUCAGGUUGUAGUGACGGCAGGUUUAUGGGUUCUCUAGCUUUCCUUUUCUCUCUCCUUCGAUCUCCUUCUCCAUCAUUGCGCCACAAGAAACGCCAUUAAUAGCUAGGGUUUUCUAAAACAAUUUUCAUUCAACUUAUGCAAUUUAUCUCCUUUUUCAUCCAAUUUUUGUGAAAUUUCACAAUUAAUCCUGCUUUUCCUUUUCAUAUUCAGUAACUUGAUGUUUAAAUUUCAAUUUAUGCCGAUUUAUUAAUUAUUUUUGUGCUACUUUGUAGAGGAUUGUGAUUAAAGGGUGAGGUACUCCUUAAUACGAAUCAUCAAGGCUCAAUUGAAAUGAGGUUAUAUAAUAGAAUUCUACAUUCAAUUUCGAAUCAUUUCUUCUUUGAGGGUUAGGAGGGACAAGGAAUGAGGGACUAGUGACUCUGGCCUGGAAAGGUUGCAGCUACUUUUGCCCUACCGAGGCUGCUGCUGCAGCUGGCCUGGAAAGGGUGCAGCUAUUACUGCCCUACCGAGGCUGCUAUGGCAGCUAGCUUGGCAAGGCUGCAGCUACUACUGAGGCUGCUGCUGCAACUGGCCUGGCAAGGCUGCAGCUGCUACUACUCUGCUGAGGAUGAUGCUGUUGCUACGUACCUCGCACCUCAAAAUUUUACAACUUGUUCUUAUCCACAAACUUACAAUUUUAACUAAUAUUCUGGUUUGGUAAAUCUGUUAGGAGCUGAUUUCUACAAUCCGGUUUGGCUGUUUAGUUUACAGAGGACAAAAUUUUGACAUAGCAGCUUGCAAAUUCAUUUGGUAUACGAGCUCUCCACGCGGCUGCCUCUUCAUAAGAGAGUGGAUCAGCUCUCCAUGCUGCUGCCUCUACUGCUACCCCCUCUGCUGCUAUUACUACUUUAUCUUUGCUGCUACUGCUGCUUUACAUAGCUGCUAUUGCCUCCUAUCUUUGAUGUUGUUGAUGCUUCUAUAGUGCUGCUACUGCUUACUCCUAUUAUGAAAAUAGAAGAAAAGUUUGA